CUGUGUUUAAUGUCACAUGCUGGAAUGAGCCCCACUGUGACAUCACGAGGCAGCACAGCAAAGAACCAGCCUACAGGAAGCUACAGAGUAAGAACACAACAUCGAUGUUAAUGCAGAAGGUUCUCACUAGAGGCAACCAGGGCGGCUAGCGAUUAAACAAAAGCACUGAAAGAACAUAAUUACUGAGAGGACGACGAUGAGUAUGGAAGUGCUGCUCCUUAUAUUAGUCAGCAUGCACCCAUAUACAGCCAUGUUGUUCUCUGCAGUAGAACCGGAAGGAAGAAACAAUGAUGAUGAUGACAACACAAAGCAAGGGAUGGAGUUUACGGAAGACAUUUUCUUUGCAGAUUCAUCAUGGGAUGAGAGCGAGAACCUGAACAUGGUAGUGCCGCAAGAAAGCUCAGGUCACUGGAACCGAGGAUCACUCAUCUGUGUGCUGUGCAGCUACGCUACUUGUAUGCUGGCUCUUUUAUGAGAGACUCCAUGGUGGACCAGCUGGAGAAUGGAAAUGUUCCUCUUUUUCCUAUCGCUUAUUAAACACUCUAGAUGGUC